rnacentral:lncRNA from 1 species
CAGAGGUAAAUGAGGAGCAAGAACGAAGACUUGAUCUAUGGCAGGCUGAGGAGGGGCCUGGAGGAGGCCACAUGUGUGCAGAGACGCUGAGAUUAGGCAGAUCAGUGCAUCCUCACCAGACCCUCUCCCAACCCAGGAGGUGAUACGUGGGUCAGCAUAUUAAAGAUGUCAUUCACUGAUGCCCUAACCUUGUUCCAAAAAUAUUUGACAUUAUCCUCACGUGAUUUUCUAAGAGGUGACGGAUAAAGUGUACAUGCCCCCAAGAAUGAGUAACCAGGACAACCCUCCCUCUCAGCAUCUCCUCCUGGAUGAAUGCUUACCUGUGACAAUGCUGUCUCUUUUAGGAUGUGAUUGUGGAUGGUCUGUAGUUAGAAGUACAAGUGUGUUCAACCUCAGCAUAAAAUCAGAAAUGCACACUGAUGGAGUUGCUCACAUGACUUCCCAGUGGAAGGAGUUUCCGGACUGAAUUUAAACUCAUUCCCAGACCACUUGUCCCUGUCAAGUGAUGUACACUGAAGAAAGAGCCUCCUUCAGGCUGUGAGGUCUUCCUGUCAUCCUGACCAAUCAUUUCCCACCAUGAGACUGCUGUACCUUCUCUUUCUCUUUCUUGGAUAUCUGAUACAAACAGCCUCAGGUAAGCUACGAGCCCACCUGGAGGAUGACGAGGUAGAUACCCUUGGAGCUGACGCAGGCCAAACUGAUUCACAAGCCAAGGAGGCACUGAAAUAGGGGAUAACUGAACAGCCACAGGGCUGAGCAAAAGCACAGCAUGUACAAGAAAUGCAUUUUACAAAUCAGGAGAGAGAAGCUUAAAGAAAUUUAAAAAUUUUUUUCCAAGAUUACCUUUAUCUAGUUGUUGCAAAAGAUACCAGACAUGAUUGUGAUAGAUGACAUUAACAGUAGCCAUCAAAGCCUCCAAACCGUUUCCAUGACGUUCAAAACAAUGGCAACAGCCACACUAAUACUAACAGCAAAUAAUGCCGACCGCUUUCUCUUUACCGGACGUCAAAGCAAAUAUGUGUUGUGUUUUAACAUGUUACCUCCCAUGUACUCCUCAUAAGAAUAUUUAUGGGGCAGGUAUUUUUAACCCUGUCUUACAUAUGAGACUAAGGAAUGGCAUCACUUGUCCAAAGUCACAAGGAUUGUAAGUGGUGAAGCCUAGAUUCAGACUCAAGUUGGUUUGGUUCCAAAGAUUAUGCUGUUACUAAAUACUCAACAAUACCUGAAAAUAAAAAUGAACAGUUUUAAGUACAGGUAUGUCCCAUGCAACACUUGGGACAAGCUUAUACUACAAGAAGAUUCGUUGUUUAUCUGAUAUUCAAAUUUAACUAGAGGUCUCACAUUUUCCUGGCAACCUCCUGUAUAUGUCACAUGGACCAGGUUACGCUGUGGUGAAAACAACAUUCAAAUCCUGGCAUCCUAAAAAGAGCAAAGGUUUAACUCCCACUUCUGGUACAAAUGCUUUGUGGCCGUAGGGCUGCUCUGCCCACUGCGGCUGCUCCACCCCACUGGUGGAGUGGCCACAACCGUGACUACUGCUGGCCGCUGCAAAGGAAGGGGCGCUGAGGUUCUCACACUCGCAGGUAAGGGCUUCAGCCCUGCAAGGACACAUCACUUCUGCUCAAAAUUUAUUAACCAAGCAAGUCUCAUUGGCCCUUCCUAACAAAAGGUAGGGGAGGCAAUCCUACUUCAUGGCAAGAAAAUAGCCAGAUCUAUUUGUGAUAUAGAUAUACCACUAUAUAUUUGUGAUAUAGAUAUAUAGCCCCCUAAUUGUGAUAGAUAGAUGAUUGAUG